rnacentral:tRNA from 4 species
GCGGUUAUCGUAUAAUGGCUAUUACCUCAGCCUUCCAAGCUGAUGAUGCGGGUUCGAUUCCCGCCGACGCUCCA